UACGUAGGGCGCAAGCGUUAUCCGGAAUUAUUGGGCGUAAAGAGCUCGUAGGCGGUUUGUCGCGUCUGCCGUGAAAGUCCGGGGCUCAACUCCGGAUCUGCGGUGGGUACGGGCAGACUAGAGUGAUGUAGGGGAGGCUGGAAUUCCUGGUGUAGCGGUGAAAUGCGCAGAUAUCAGGAGGAACACCGGUGGCGAAGGCGGGUCUCUGGGCCGAUACUGACGCUGAGGAGCGAAAGCGUGGGGAGCGAACAGG
rnacentral:rRNA from 1 species